rnacentral:rRNA from 1 species
GUAGGGAAUAUUGGACAAUGGGGGAAACCCUGAUCCAGCAACGCCGCGUGGAUGAUGAAGCUUUUUGGAGUGUAAAAUCCUGUCAGUGGGGACGAAACGUCCGGGUAGGAAAUGACCCGGGCCUGACUGUACCCGCAGAGGAAGUUCCGGCCAACUCCGUGCCAGCAGCCGCGGUAAUACGGGGGGAACGAGCGUUGUUCGGAUUUACUGGGCGUAAAGGGCACGCAGGCGGGGAGACAAGUCAGAUGUGAAAACCCAAAGCUUAACUCUGGGCCUGCAUUUGAUACUGUUUCUCUUGAGUACGGGAGAGGAUAGCGGAAUUCUUGGUGUAGCGGUGAAAUGCGUAGAUAUCAAGAAGAACACCGGUGGCGAAGGCGGCUAUCUGGCCCGAUACUGACGCUCAUGUGCGAAGGCAAGGGGAGCAAACAGGAUUAGAAACCCGGGUAGUCC